rnacentral:lncRNA from 1 species
UAAACUAGCCGUUCAACAACUAGUAUCAACACCCAACUACAACCAGCCACGUCACCAUCACCUUUGCCCCUACGCCCGGCCUCAUCUCCAAGACCUCACCUCCACGCCGAUGCUUCACCCACCCUCUCCACGCCACCACAUCGUUUAGUCUUACAGGUUCGACUAAAACCUAUAACAAAACCGACCAGCCUAUACAAAAAUAUGUUUAACACAACAUAAUAUCUAAAUUUUGAUAUUAUUUACUAAAAAUAUAAUAAAAAACAAAUAUCAUGAACAAAGCCUUGGCAAUGAUUUAGCACUUGUUUGUCUAGACGAUUUUGAUUUCAAGAGUUUGCUCAUCUGAGUUUGCAUUUUCCUACAAACUUUUUCCAAUUCAACUACUCUCCAUUGCAUCCCUUCUAAAUGUGCUUUCAUCUUCUCAUUUUCACUAACAAUAUCUUCUUUUGCUUCAUACGGUACAACUUGUUCAGCAUAGAUUACAACUUGCUCGCGCAUCUCGUCAUUUUUUGUUUCGGUUGCCACUAGUUCAUGUGGCGGGAGGACAAACCGUUUUUGGACGUCCAUGCCACGAAAAAGGUUUUCAAGCUUGAGUUGUUGACCUUUGAGAGCUAACGCAGCGUAUCUUGGCGGGAAUUUGGCGUUUUGAGUGAGAUGAUUGCAACUUUCUGAUGAAAGUUUGGUGUAGUCAAGACUGUUGAAUAUGCUCGUUUUUUCUUCGUCUGAUAAUCCCGUGUGGACCUAUAUAGAAUAGUUAUAGAUAAUCGACGCUUUGAGUGUUUCGGAAUUUUUGUUGCCAACUUAUAAAAAAAGUAAAACUUUUACUUUUUUCUGACACGUACAAACAUAAAACUUGGUGCCAGAAAUGACACAUUUGCAGAAAAGAAAUUUAAAUGUCAUUUCUGGCACCAAAAUAGGUCAGGAAUUCUCAUUUAAUUCGAGAUUUAAGGGAUUUCAAACAUUCAAAUUGCAUUAAAUAACUACCAAAUCAAUUUUCUUUUUCUAAGUCACAAGGCUUCAAAAACCAUUACUAAAACCAUUUAAUGAAAAAAAGAACCGUCACAAAAUAACCCAAAACAAUCAAUUUUGAAAAGUAAAACGGUUUUAGUAACACUUUUUUAAAAUGUAAACAACUGUUACCUGAAGAUAAAUGUUGAUGGCGUGAUAGAUAUCAUCAUACGAGUCUCGAGCGGACUCAGGGAGAGCCUUUACAAGAGCCAAGAAUAUACACGGCUUCAAACGGGGAUCAGGGGCGACUUCUGCAACAUACGAGUCUAUCAAUCCAGCAACUUUCGUAAACUCAGAAAUGGGAACUCCGGGUCCACUUCUUGCGGUUAAAAAAUGCUUCACAAACUGUAAAACAAGAUUAACAUCAUAAAGAUAAUUCGACCCAUGUGGAGAUGGAACAAGAAGAUUGUCUAGAGUGGCUUGAUCCAACUGGGAACCGAUCAUACGCUCUAAAAUGUUCCUGUGGAUCUUCUUAACAUUUACAUUUAAAGCAACCCGUAAUAUCCCAAAUAAAUUCUUGCAAGAAACCGAGGUUUGAUCUAGCAAAGAAAGACAAUCAAUGACGGUUUCGAGUAUCUCUAGUUUUUCGUUUGGAGUGGCGUCGAAAAAUCUAGACUUUUGAUAGUAAAACAGAAACCUGCUGGAAACCCCGUGAUCGAAUUUGUAAAGAACAAUCGAUUUGACCAAUUGUUUGACUAAACUUGGAGUCAAAAUAUUGGCCAGAUCUUCAAACCACCAUGAUGACCGCAAAAACCCGCUUCUAAGACUCUCGGUGCUUUUGCUAUCAGUUGAUAACCGAAGGCCCGAGCUCUCGGGUGAUGAGCUAGAGGGACAUGAAGGGCUCGUUUCACUUGUGAAAACGAGCCUAGCAACUACGGAAUCCAAACAUUUUUCAUGAAUUUGGGAAGAACUCUCGGCCGGGACUAAAUCUAGAGAAUUCUUUAAAGCUGAUAGAAGCUCGGGCCAACUCCAAAACUUGAUUUCUUCAAUGGAUUUCUUCAUUUGCUCGAGCAAAUUGAGAGAUCCACUGAUUGUUUCAUUCAUUUCCAAGUAAUGUGCAGCGCAUAACAAGCGAUGCGCGUUGUAGGGGUUUAUAACGAUUUUGCCAUUGUUGUAGCAGAAUCUUGUAACCAGCUCAAAACUUCCGGGUCCUCCUGGAAAAUCAUGCAAUAUAAUUUUGAGAUUCCUUGUCACGCCUUUGGAUUUAUCGAAUAAGUUUCUGAUUUUUCCACAAUAUGAUGAGAUGAUUACCUUAUGAAUGAAGAAUGUUUCUUCACCAUUAACAUCCACCUCAACAUCACAAACAGCAGCCAUUGAUACCCAGACGAAGAAGAAGAGUAUUAACACCAAAAGGAUGAAGAUAAUGACACAAAAUUAGUGGGAAUCUUGAAAGUCUCAAUCUGGUGGAUUUAGCUAAGAGAAGAUGUGAAGACAAAGUGCUAGAAAUCAAAAAAUGAUUCGGAAAUGAGUAAGAGACAAAGGGAAAAGGGGUUGCUUUGGUUUGAGUAAACAAGUUGAGUUGCGUUGAGGGGAAGAUACAGAGAAAUGUGAAUAAUAAAAAAAGAGAUGGAUCAGGGGAGUGGCAGAGGC